rnacentral:snRNA from 1 species
GGAUGCUGAGAGCAGUCUGGUUGUGACAUCUGUUACCUGUUGGUCUUGAGGACUGAUUUCACUGGCUAUGCAGGUGGCCUCUUCUCAUGACUACAUGUUCAUCUUUCCUGAAAUUUUGCCCUUAGCUGAUGGAGAUGACCUAUUUAGAUAAUAGAAGGCCAUUCUUUAUUCAAGGUAUCUGAAAUAUAAUCUUAUCCACCAAGAUACAUAAUUGUAUAGUUUUCU